CAAGUGCUGGGAUCAAAUGUGUGCUAU
rnacentral:piRNA from 1 species